UACGGAGGGUGCUAGCGUUGUUCGGAAUUACUGGGCGUAAAGGGCGCGUAGGCGGCCGUUUGCGUCGGAUGUGAAAGCCCGGGGCUCAACCUCGGAACGGCAUUCGAUACGGGACGGCUGGAGACCGGGAGAGGAGAGUGGAAUAGCCAGUGUAGAGGUGAAAUUCGUAGAUAUUCGGGAGAACACCAGUGGCGAAGGCGGCUCACUGGACUGGUAUUGACGCUGAGGUGCGAAAGCGUGGGGAGCAAACAGG
rnacentral:rRNA from 1 species